UGUCGUCAGCUCGUGUCGUGAGAUGUUGGGUUAAGUCCGUAACGAGCGCAACCCUUGUCCUUAGUUACCAGCACGUUAUGGUGGGCACUCUAAGGAGACUGCCGGUGACAAACCGGAGGAAGGUGGGGAUGACGUCAAGUCAUCAUGGCCCUUACGGCCUGGGCUACACACGUGCUACAAUGGUCGGUACAAAGGGUUGCCAAGCCGCGAGGUGGAGCUAAUCCCAUAAAACCGAUCGUAGUCCGGAUCGCAGUCUGCAACUCGACUGCGUGAAGUCGGAAUCGCUAGUAAUCGUGAAUCAGAAUGUCACGGUGAAUACGUUCCCGGGCCUU
rnacentral:rRNA from 1 species